rnacentral:lncRNA from 1 species
CGGCAGUGACCUGCAACUAUGGGAACGGUGGCUGCCAGCACACCUGCGAUGACACCGACCAGGGCCCCAAAUGUGGCUGCCACGUCAAGUUCCUGCUGCACUCCGACGGCGUGACCUGCAUCGGGGAGAGACACUUCCAGCAACACGUUAUCCUUGAGACGUUUUCUAAUGGUAAAUAUUUUUGUUUUUGUUCCCUACCUCCGCGAGGGGAUCUAACCGCAGGGGUGCUCUCACCUCCAGCCCGUCACUCGGGGGGC